GGGGACAGAAGGGGAUCCCAGCACAACACGAGCCAGUCUCAGCAGCCACGACUUCAAAAAUUAUCUGCUUUUUCUCCAUGAAGGUUCCCAGGCCCCAGGACAGCAGCACUGGAUGGGGGUUCAGGAGAGAACAAUAAGCAGCUGCUGGAGCCUUCCACUCGUGCUCUCAGAAGAAGCACAAGGAGAUCUCUGAAGGCACGACAGGGCAAAGAAUGGUGAGGAGAAGACACAGUGAGGUUCUUAUCUGGAGCGUGGUUCUGCAGCUACAGAUUUGCCUGAAUUCAGUGAGAUCGCUCCAAACCCUUUGGAGGAGCUCGAGCACCGAGGGGAAGGGAUGAUUUUAGUCAGAAAAGUUAUUUUCCAUUACAAAAGAAAAACUGAGGGGAUGUUUUCACCUGCCAGCAUGGGAAGCACAUGGAUGCUGGGAUGCAAGCAGGAGGGCAGGACCCUACAGUGGCUUCCACACGUCUCAGAGCAGCUGCAGCAUCCCCAGCACGGACAAGGCCAGGGCUGAGGAGUGGAAAAGGAGACAUUGGGCAUGGGAAGCCACACAAAGCUGGUUUGUGCCAGAAAUGCCAGAAAGGGCUGAUGUGUGUCACUGUCCCUGCUUUCCAUCCCAGCGAGCGGGGUGAGAAUUCCCUUGGAAGCACAAGGGUCCAAGGAGAGCGGGAACAAGGACCUGGAGUGGCAGCUGCAGCACAGGAGAAGGUUUGGUCCAGCCUGGCACUGCCAGCUCCCCUCUCCUCCCUUCCCAAAAACACUCACCUGCAAGGAGGGCGAGGCUGAUAAUUAGAUAAUAACUCUCAGGUUGUUUUAAACAGAACAACUGCUGUGCAAGGAGGAUUUAUUUCUUCGUUUUGCUGAGAUAUUUUUCCCCUUUGUGAGCGCUCCCAGAAAUAUCCUUGCAGGAUGUGCCUCUCAUUUUCCCGAGGAUUUUCUGAAGACCCCAGGGAACAGAACUCUAUUAGCUGAAGUCACCUUUCUGUCACAAGAGCCACGUAGGAGACACAAAGGACCUCUGGAACUUAAACUUCUUUGGUGCUCUGCUCAACGCAGCUGAGCAAGAAUUUCUGCUGGCACCGAAGUUCUCACAGCUAGGCUAGGCUGUGCUAUUUAAAACGGGAUUUCAUCCUAAUGAGCCUAAAAUAAAACUGUGUGUGUGGAAGGAGAUCUCAAAGCAUCCUCAGUCGGAGCAGGGGCUCGGGAGAAGGAGGAAAAAGCCAAAGCCAACCAAAGAGCACCCUCUCCUGGCCACAGCUCCGAGCGCUCCUCCUGCACGCCCGAUCCUCGGGGACACGGUGAGCUGCCCUGGAGAGCGCUCCCAUCCAUCCCCACGGAAAACAUGGAAAUAUCCACCCGCUCUGAUUUUCCUCUGUGUUUUCUUUUAA